rnacentral:misc_RNA from 1 species
GAUGAAGAACGUAGCGAAAUGCGAUAAGUAGUGUGAAUUGCAGAAUUCAGUGAAUCAUCGAAUCUUUGAACGCACAUUGCGCCCUUUGGUAUUCCAAAGGGCAUGCCUGUUCGAGCGUCAUUUGUACCCUCAAGCUUUGCUUGGUGUUGAGCGUCUUGUCUCUAGCUUUGCUGGAGACUCGCCUUAAAGUAAUUGGCAGCCGGCCUACUGGUUUCGGAGCGCAGCACAAGUCGCACUCUCUAUCAGCAAAGGUCUAGCAUCCAUUAAGCCUUUUUUUUCAACUUUUGGCCUCGGAUCAGGUAGGGAUACCCGCUGAACUUAAGCAUAUCAAUAAGCGGAGGA